AACGUAGGAGGCAAGCGUUAUCCGGAGUUACUGGGCGUAAAGCGUGCGUAGGCGGAUCGGUAAGUGGGUGGUGAAAGCGCUCGGCUAAACCGGGCGAGUGCCAUUCAGACUGCCAAUCUAGAGGCGGAUAGAGGGGUGCGGAAUUCCGGGUGUAGCGGUGAAAUGUGUAGAGAUCCGGAGGAACACCAGUGGUGCAAACGGCGCCC
rnacentral:rRNA from 1 species